AAAAAAGCAGUGGCCUGUUGCCUAUGUGAAUGGGCCUCUCGUAAACGUCAGGGAUAUCAUUCUCAUUGUUAUUGGGUGAACCUAUGUUAGUUGUUUGUGACUGAAGGUUCAGUAAAUGAUGGGACAUUU